rnacentral:rRNA from 1 species
UACGGGGGGUGCGAGCGUUGUCCGGAAUCACUGGGCGUAAAGGGCGCGUAGGUGGCCUGAUAAGGGGGUGGCGAAAGUCCGGGGCUCAACCCCGGAUCUGCCGUGCCGACUGUUGGGCUGGAGUACUGUAGGGGCAGGCGGAAUUCCGGGUGUAGCGGUGGAAUGCGUAGAGAUCCGGAGGAAGACCGGUGGCGAAGGCGGCCUGCUGGGCAGUUACUGACACUGAGGCGCGACAGCGUGGGGAGCAAACAGG